rfam:Rhizoclosmatium globosum strain JEL800 BCR33scaffold_213, whole genome shotgun sequence.
GAAUUGACGUAUAUGAUCAUGGUUCAUUAUAAAUGCGAGAUAUUGACUUUACACAUGCUGGUCGAAUUAAGUUCUAAGAACUUUUUGGCAUAAAGGUGAGUAAUGGAUCUAUUUACCCAGAAAAUUAACUUUAUGAGUUUAGUCUGGACGAUAGAUUCUGAGUAUUAGGUAGAAGGGUCUGGUAAUAGCAGCCCUUGCCGAUGAUGCUUAGCGACAGCCACAGAAUUAUUUAAUGAAGAAAUUCCCCUUGGCAGCAGUGAGGAAUCUUGGGUAAGGACCGAAAGGUUGCCCCAGUCAAUAUCAGGAGACACUGGGUGUUUCCAAAAUAAGAACAACAGAAUGAGUAUUCUUAUUUUAAAUUCCGGCCAAACCUGUGCCAGCAGCCGCGGUAAUACAGGUGGAAUUGCAUUAUAAAUCUUAAAUAGGCAUUAAGUGUAGUAAGAUGGACAUUUGUCUAGAGUAUUUUUAAAAGAAUAUGAGGAAUAACUUGUGUAGAGAUUAAAUUUGUAAAAAUGAGUUAGAACAUCUAUGUGCGACAGCAUCAUUCUAUAUUAAUACUGACAUUGAACUACUAAAGUGAGGUUAGCGAAAUGAAUUAGAUACUCAUGUAGUCCUCACCCUAAAUUCACCAUGUGAAACAUUCAUGGCGCCUCCAGAGUAUAAUAGGGCAACCUUGAAAUGGAAUUGAUUUGGCGGGUUUCGACAUAAACUGCGGAUUGUGAAAUUUAAUUGGAUAAUGCCCCAUAAAUCUUACCUUAUUCUUUGGUAUUGCAUGGUCGAGCAAAGCUGGUGGAGCAAUCCUUUCAACUAGCAUAAGCUACCCCUACGUAGUUGAGCUCAGAUACGCAUGGUCCAGUAAUAAGGGCUAUAUUCACAAUACAAUGGCUGAAACAAAUGUAUUUAAUAAAUUCAGUCUUAAUUCGGAUAAAGAAUUGAAACUCAUUCUUUUGAAGUUGGAGUAGUUAGUAAUCGUGGGUUAGCAUACCACGGUGAAUGUCAUCUCGAAAUUGUACAAAUUGCCCAUCAACGACUAUUAAUGAGGAGCCUAUAGACUUUAGCUAUUAAAAGGGUUAUUUAUAAUCCUAUACUGUAUAUAGAGUCUAUUUUGCUGUUUAUGAGUGGUCGUAAGUUGUAACAAAGUUCGGGUAGCUGAAGCUGUCCGAUAAUUAGACAAUGU